rnacentral:rRNA from 1 species
AUUGAACGCUGGCGGCAUGCCUUACACAUGCAAGUCGAACGGCAGCGGACCUUCGGGUGCCGGCGAGUGGCGAACGGGUGAGUAAUAUAUCGGAACGUACCUUUCAGUGGGGGAUAACGUAGCGAAAGUUACGCUAAUACCGCAUAUUCUGUGAGCAGGAAAGCAGGGGAUCGCAAGACCUUGCGCUGAUUGAGCGGCCGAUAUCAGAUUAGCUAGUUGGUGAGGUAAAGGCUCACCAAGGCGACGAUCUGUAGCGGGUCUGAGAGGAUGAUCCGCCACACUGGAACUGAGACACGGUCCAGACUCCUACGGGAGGCAGCAGUGGGGAAUUUUGGACAAUGGGCGCAAGCCUGAUCCAGCCAUGCCGCGUGCGGGACGAAGGCCUCGGUUGU